ACGGGGGGGGCGAGCGUUGUCCGAAGUUACUGGGCGUAAAGCGCGUGUAGGUGGGUUGUUAAGUCCGCUGUGAAAGCCCGGUGCUCAACGCCGGAGGGUCGGUGGAUACUGGCAGUCUUGAAGUGGCUAGGGGGAAAUGGAAUUACCGGUGUAGCGGUGAAAUGCGUAGAUAUCGGUAGGAACACCAGUGGCGAAGGCGGUUUCCUGGAGCCCACUUGACGCUGAGACGCGAAAGCUGGGGGAGCAAACGGGA
rnacentral:rRNA from 1 species